CCUACGGGAGGCAGCAGUGAGGAAUAUUGGUCAAUGGGCGCGAGCCUGAACCAGCCAAGUAGCGUGAAGGAUGACUGCCCUACGGGUUGUAAACUUCUUUUAUAAAGGAAUAAAGUGAGGCACGUGUGCCUUUUUGUAUGUACUUUAUGAAUAAGGAUAGGCUAACUCCGUGCCAGCAGCCGCGGUAAUACGGAGGAUCCGAGCGUUAUCCGGAUUUAUUGGGUUUAAAGGGAGCGUAGAUGGGUUGUUAAGUCAGUUGUGAAAGUUUGGGGCUCAACCGUAAAAUUGCAAUUGAUACUGGCAGACUGGAGUACAGUAGAGGUAGGCGGAAUUCGUGGUGUAGCGGUGAAAUGCUUAGAUAUCACGAAGAACUCCGAUUGCGAAGGCAGCUUACUAACCUGCCACUGACAUUGAUGCUCGAAAGUGUGGGUAGCAAACAGGAUUAGAUACCCUAGUAGUC
rnacentral:rRNA from 1 species